CGCUUUUUUUAAAUGAGUAAAACUGUUAAUUUAUUAAUACAUUAAUUAAAUAAUUUAAAGGAACUUGUGCUCGUAUAUUUGCAAGGCAGUUUAGAAGCGCUGAACAACUCAUCGCAUUAAUAGUGAUGUUAAGUGUGUGAACUAAACAUUUACUGCAUGCUGACGCCUUGCAUGGCAGAAUCGUACGCCGCCGUACAGCUAUACGCCGGAGGUGGACUGAGAUAUGCCGUCCCGUUCAUUGUCCGGGGUCGAACAGCUUCUUCCUGCCCUCCAUUCCUGACAUGGCCUCUACAUUCUUACGCCAGUCUGUCACCUCCUCCCUCUGCAGAGGUGACACGUCAACAGUGGGGACACAGCAAAGAAAUGCACAGCCUGUAUGUCACAUGCUGUCCUGUGUUCUAUGUUUUCUGUGUAUUUCCUGUAUACUGGUUUGUAUGCCUCCCAGGAUUCUCGCCUAUCGAACUGUUGACUUCUGUUCAAUAUUUAUUUUGCACGAUUGUGUUCUUUAACGGUUGAAUUUCAGCAAGUGAUUUUUAAAAAACGUUUUGAGGCAAUUAUGUUGGGAAAGGUGAUAUAAAAAUAAUCUGAAUUGAACUGAAAUAUCACAGAGUAUGCCAGGUAUAGAUAAAGCCUCUUACUGCCAAAAGGUUUUGAUCUGCUGACAGUUAAUAGGCUUGAUGAAUAGAAGCUGUGUUGGUCACACUGGAAUUUAGCUUGGCCCUUGCGUUAUGAGGGGAUUCUGGGUAGACAAGUGCAUCACUGGCACUGCCACUAACUGACCAUCAGUGGUCUGUGG